GGCUACCUGGCGCAAUGGUAGCGCGUUUGGCUUCGAUUGCCUAAUGUUCUCCACAUUUAUUCACGUAGAAAUACACCAAAAGGUUGCAGGUUCGAGUCCUGCGGUGGUCA
rnacentral:tRNA from 1 species